AGCAUGGGAUUCCUUAAGUAAUUGCGAAUGAACAAGGAACUGCUCAGCUUGAAAAUUGGGGCCUUCGGCCUUGAAUUGUAAUUUUGAAAUGUAUUGCCAAUGGAGGCGCAGGUGCAAGCCUAUUGAAAGAAAGCGUCAAUGAGGGUGAGAUUCCUUUUUGUCAUUUGCAGUCCUCCGUGCACGGUAUAUAUUUGACGAGUCACACUCCUCGGCAUUGGAAUGCAAAGUGGGUGGUAAAUUCCAUGUAAAGGAAAAUAUAUUAUUGAGACUGAUAGCAAACAAGUACCAUGAGGGAAAUAUGAAAAGGACUUUGAAAAGAGAAUUAAAAGAGUCUGCAUUUGCUGAACAGAAAGCAAACAGAAUUGAUCUACUUGGUGAGAUUGUUGCGUCCACUUGUGGGCGCAAUGGUUCUUACCUUGAAUGUCAGCGUCUAUUUCUGCAAAUCAUUACCCUUGCACAUGAAUGGUAAUUUGCCUGUGGGUAUUGGAAUGCAUGUGUUUGCAAUGAUUUGUGAUUUGAUACGUGUGUCUGGUGUUCUUGUGUGUGCUUCUUGCCAAAAGGGGAGGGCUCUCCUCCCUGGGCACUGCAAGCCCUUGCACAUUGUUGCUGGCAAAAUGUUUCUGCUUGACCCGUCUUGAAACA
rnacentral:rRNA from 1 species